rnacentral:rRNA from 1 species
AGUAACACGUGGAUAACCUACCUAUAAGACUGGGAUAACUUCGGGAAACCGGAGCUAAUACCGGAUAAUAUUUUGAACCGCAUGGUUCAAAAGUGAAAGACGGUCUUGCUGUCACUUAUAGAUGGAUCCGCGCUGCAUUAGCUAGUUGGUAAGGUAACGGCUUACCAAGGCAACGAUGCAUAGCCGACCUGAGAGGGUGAUCGGCCACACUGGAACUGAGACACGGUCCAGACUCCUACGGGAGGCAGCAGCA